rnacentral:rRNA from 1 species
CAAGGUUUCCGUAGGUGAACCUGCGGAAGGAUCAUUCAUGUUUUUAAUCGUGCCUUUUAGUGGGGGGUGUGUGUGGAGCAACCUUCGGGUGCGUUUUGCAUGCAUUCUUCCUAAGAGGCCACAACCAUUCCGGUGACCAAUUUAACCCAUUUUUUGUUGUAAAACGGUGCUGUAAAACGCGCCGUUUACUACUACAACUCUUUUUAUUUAAAACCCACCAUGAAAAACCACAACAGAAACGAAACCAAGAAAAUAAAACUCGUGACGGAGGAUAUCUUGGCUCCCACAUCGAUGAAGAACGCAGCGAAAUGCGAUACGUAGUGUGAAUUGCAGACACGUGAGUCAUCGAAUCUUUGAACGCAAGUGGUGCUCGCGGGCAAUCCUGCGAGCAUGUCUGUUUGAGUGUCCGCACAAAAUACUCGCGCCCUCUUAAUUUGAAGGGUGCGGCGAUUGGGUUUUUUUUUGUAUCUGCUUCACGGCGGAAGACCCGGAAUGCAGUGCUUGGAAGUUCCAUGGGGCGUCAGCCCCAUUUCCGUGUGCAUCAACAUAUCUGCGCGACUAUCUAGCGCGGAAAACCAGUGUUUAAAACUAGCAAGCAAUGCGUGGUGCUUUGUUGCGUCUGCUGCGCUGAAAAGAAAGGAAGUCUGGACGGAAACGACGUCUCGGAGCUCUCUGCUGGGAAGUAACUACAUUCCAGGGGGGAGAUGAGGUGGCGCUUUUUUGUGCUGGAUUGCCAUGAAAAAACUUUUCGGGGCACGCGGUGGGAGAGCGACGGGAAAGCCAUGUCAUGUGGUGAUUCCAUGCGAUCCUGCGGUGUAAAAGGCGGUGCGUGAGCGGGUGCUGUAUACUACAUGCGCAGUGCGUCACUGGCGGACUUUAUAUUUCUCGGAUCUCAAAUCAGGCAAGACU